GUGUUCUCUCUCUGUGUUCCUCUCUCUCUGUUCUCUCUCUCUCUCUCUGUGUUCCCUCUCUCUCUGUGUUCCCUCCCUCUCUCUCUCUGUGUUCCUCUCUCUCUCUCUCUCUCUGUGUUCCCUCUCUCUCUCUGUGUUCCUCUCUCUCUCUCUCUGUGUUCCCUCUCUCUCUCUCUCUGUUCCCUCUCUCUCUCUGUGUUCCCUCUCUCUCUCUCUGUGUUCCCUCUCUCUCUCUCUGUGUUCCCUCUCUCUCUCUCUCUCUGUGUUCCCUCUCUCUCUCUCUGUGUUCCCUCUCUCUGUGUUCCCUCUCUCUCUCUCUGUGUUCUCUCUCUCUCUGUGUUCUCUCUCUCUCUCUGUGUGUUCCCUGUCUCUCUCUGUGUUCCCUGACUCUGUGUAGGUGAGGUCAUGAUCACUGUUUCUGUACAGCCGACAGUCAAACUGAAGAUGCAAACACGUCUGCUGAAAAUAAAGUUAUUUCGUAAAGAUGGUCUGUGUUGUUUAUGAUAAGGGCCACAUACCAUAACCACGCUAUGAAUAACAUCACAAAUUGUAUAUGAAACGUGAAUAGAUUUAUUUUAAAUAAAUUUGUGAUGUUCUAACUAAAAGCCCUAAAUGUUUACAUAUCAUAGCAUGAAGAAAUGAAUCCCUUUGAUGUUAAAUACUGGUUUACCUAGUUCAAAGUAUUCAAUCCCCUUUCCACAUGUUGUUGCGUUCAAGCCUGAAUUUAAAAUGGAUUAUAUUGAAAUGUGUCACGAGCCCUACACACAAUACUAACCUAAAUGACCUGUGGCCUGUACAGAAUAAACAUGUCAAAACUUGCAUCCUGUUUGCAAUGAGGCACUGAGUACCACUCUAAAUAUUUAAGUAUCUUGGUGGCUGCAUCAUGUUAUGGGUAUGCUUGUCAUCAGCAACCACUAGGGAUUUUUUUGGGGGGGGGGGGAAUAAAUGGAAUAGAGCUAAGCACAGGCAAAAUCUGCUUUCCACCAGACACUGGGAGACAAAUUCACUGUUCGGUAGGACAAAAACACAAAGCCAAAUAUACACUGGAGUUGGUUACCGAGACGAUAUUGAAUGCUCCUGAUUGGCCUAGUUACAGUUUUGACUUAAAUUGUCAUAAAUCUAUGGAAAGACCUGAAAAUCACUGUCUAGCAAUGAUCAACAACCAACUUGACUGAGUACUUAUGUAAAUGAGAUAUUUGAUUUGAUUUCUGUAUUUAAAUUUUCAAUAAAUUAGCAAACAUGUCUAAAAACAUGUUUUCACUUUGUCAUUAUGGGAUAUUGUGAUGUCAUUAUGGGGUAUUGUAUGUCAGAUGGGUGUGAAAAAAAAAUCUAAUCAAUGUUGAUUUCAGGCUGUAACACAACAAAAUGUGGAAUAAAUCCAGCUGUCUAAUAAUCUACAUACAGCGAAGGACCAGGAAAUGUCACAAUGCAGACAGAGUGGAAGGAUAGGGGCGUGGAUCAGAAAACCAGUCAGUAUCUGGGUGUGACCACCAUUUUCCUCAUGCAGCGCGACACAUCUUCUUCGCGUAGAGUUGUGGAACGCUGUCCCACUACUCUAUUACAGAAUUUGACAACAUUUUGACUAUGGAGAAUCUCCCCCCACAUCUCAUUGGUUGAAUCUCUAUAUAAUCCUCACAUAAUGUUUCACACGUAAUGUAUAAUAUGUAGCCUACGGCAGGUGAUCCAAUAUCUCAUUCUUUUUUUUCUUAUUGUAUGUUUGUAUAUAUAAUUAUUUUUUUGUGACGCUCGUCUGUCCUAUCUUUUCACUUUUGUUUUGAAUGUUCUUAAUCAGAAAAUUCAAAAAUAAAAUAUUUAAAUAAAACAUUUUUUUUUACAUGAACUUGUUUCCUUAAUAUUUGUUUAUGACUUAAAUGUUUUUAUUGUAGUGCUUUGAGUUCUGUAAAUGACUCAUUUAACAUCUGCCAGCUGUCCAAUUUAAUUGAUAUGUUGAGUGUACAUGACAAUAUUCCUAGGAAAUCAGGGCAACAACGUUACCCAAACAAUAGCAUUACUUUCAUUUACAGUAUACAACUUCAUUCUUACAAAUGUAUGGAGCUAUCACUGAGCCAAAGCAAA
ensembl:lncRNA